CCAGGUUAGAGAUGUGAUCCAGGAAGACAGUGAACUCAGCAGGCAGGUGUUUCAGCAUGAGCCUGUGGUCAUAGGUGUCCUUCAGCUUCCCUACAUGGUCCUGGGGAGGGAGAGAGAUAGAUGGAGAGAGAGGUGUUUCAUGAUGAGCCUGUGGUCAUAGGUGUCCUUCAGCUUCCCUACAUGGUCCUGGGGAGGGAGAGAGAUAGAUGGAGAGAGAGGUGUUUCAUGAUGAGCCUGUGGUCAUAGGUGUCCUUCAGCUUCCCUACAUGGUCCUGGGGAGGGAGAGAGAUAGAUGGAGAGAGAGGUGUUUCAUGAUGAGCCUGUGGUCAUAGGUGUCCUUCAGCUUCCCUACA